UUAGCUCAAUUGGUAGAGCGCUCCACCUGUAAUGGAGAGGUCCCGGGUUCGAUACCCGGACCAGGCG
rfam:Ixodes scapularis strain Wikel colony gcontig_1107728614354, whole genome shotgun sequence.